rnacentral:rRNA from 1 species
AUGAACCACGGCGGGAGGCAGAAGUACCAUAUAACUGGAAUUAACCGAUGCACCUCCAAGAAGGAUUGGUCAGUGCUGCCGGCUGGCGUCAAGUUCGAUCCCACGGAUCAGGAGCUGAUCGAGCAUCUUGAGGCCAAAGUGAGUGCUGACAGUGCGAGAUCUCACCCUCUCGUCGAUUUGUUCAUACCAACCAUCGACACCGAGCACGGCAUAUGCUACACCCAUCCCGAGAAACUUCCAGCGCAAUUCCUGGGCGUUCGUAAGGGGCACGUGGACGCGUCGCAAGAUACAGUCGGAGUGCGGCAUGCACGCGAUGUGGCACAAGACUGGCAAUACCUUGCCGGUGAUGGUCAAUGGCCGGCAGACGGGCAGCAAAAAGGUUCUGGUGCUGCACACCAACCAAAACUUUGA